rnacentral:sRNA from 1 species
GUGCGAAGGCGGCAGCAUCAGCGCGAUCAAGGCCGCCAUCGAGGUAACGUUGAC